rnacentral:rRNA from 1 species
GAUGAACGCUGGCGGCGUGCUUAACACAUGCAAGUCGAACGAAGCACUCUAUUUGAUUUUCUUCGGAAAUGAAGAUUUUGUGACUGAGUGGCGGACGGGUGAGUAACGCGUGGGUAACCUGCCUCAUACAGGGGGAUAACAGUUGGAAACGACUGCUAAUACCGCAUAAGCGCACAGGAUCGCAUGAUCCGGUGUGAAAAACUCCGGUGGUAUGAGAUGGACCCGCGUCUGAUUAGCCAGUUGGCAGGGUAACGGCCUACCAAAGCGACGAUCAGUAGCCGACCUGAGAGGGUGACCGGCCACAUUGGGACUGAGACACGGCCCAAACUCCUACGGGAGGCAGCAGUGGGGAAUAUUGCACAAUGGGGGAAACCCUGAUGCAGCGACGCCGCGUGAGCGAAGAAGUAUUUCGGUAUGUAAAGCUCUAUCAGCAGGGAAGAAGAAUGACGGUACCUGACUAAGAAGCACCGGCUAAAUACGUGCCAGCAGCCGCGGUAAUACGUAUGGUGCAAGCGUUAUCCGGAUUUACUGGGUGUAAAGGGAGCGCAGGCGGUGCGGCAAGUCUGAUGUGAAAGCCCGGGGCUCAACCCCGGUACUGCAUUGGAAACUGUCGUACUAGAGUGUCGGAGGGGUAAGUGGAAUUCCUAGUGUAGCGGUGAAAUGCGUAGAUAUUAGGAGGAACACCAGUGGCGAAGGCGGCUUACUGGACGAUAACUGACGCUGAGGCUCGAAAGCGUGGGGAGCAAACAGG